rnacentral:rRNA from 1 species
UACGUAGGGUGCAAGCGUUGUCCGGAAUUAUUGGGCGUAAAGAGCUCGUAGGCGGUCUGUCGCGUCGGCUGUGAAUCCCGAGGCUCAACCUCGGGUCUGCAGUCGAUACGGGCAAACUAGAGUAUUGCAGGGGAGACUGGAAUUCCUGGUGUAGCGGUGAAAUGCGCAGAUAUCAGGAGGAACACCGGUGGCGAAGGCGGGUCUCUGGGCAAUAACUGACGCUGAGGAGCGAAAGCGUGGGGAGCGAACAGG